rnacentral:lncRNA from 1 species
GGCAGCUGCCUGCCUGGAGGAAUUUCAGGCUGAUCCUCUGUCCUUUCCUCCUAUCCUUCUCAGUCCUGCCACCUCUGCCUCCCCAGGCAGUCCCCUCCCCAGUAACCACAAAUUCUACCAUUAGAGAUUCGUUCCUUUGGCUUCACAUUUUCUCUGCUAUUAAACGGCAACGCCUCUUGCCAUGGUCCCUAGAGUAAUAUUUCCUUUGUUUUUUUAUGUUCCUUUUAAAAGAAGGAAGAGGAAAACACAGAAGUCAGCAUGAGAGGAAAUUAGCGUGGAGAGAAAUGCAAACCACAUGUGUAACUAAGGAGAAGCUUGCAAUUCCGUGGAGAGUUUCCUACUUGUACCUGAGCGGAAUGGAAAUCUGCUGUGACCUUUGCUCCUGCCUUCAUGGCCGCCUGCUAACGCUGUGGCAUCUCAUCGUGGAGCUCAGAGGAGGAGAUGGUCCCGCUUUGGAAAGAUGAAGGCAGAGAGGACCAGGCCUCCCACUGGCUUGGGCACGGAUGAGACUCAGGCAGAAGGACAGACUUCUGGAGGCGGCAGGGAAAAGGCAGGGUUCUGACAGAAACUAGACCAUGCUGCAGGCCUGGGCCUCUAAUGGGGGCCAUGGUUUCUUGCUCCCAUGCUUCUCCGCUCUGUGACCGGGGCUCCUGAUUUCUGACCUGGAGGCCUAGCCCUUCCUCAAGUUCACGAUCAGGCAUCAGUCCAGACAAGCAGCCCACUGAAAACAUCCCUGAGGAGUCUGCUGUGGCUCAGCGGUUAACAAAUUUGAUGAGCAUCCAUGAGGACGCAGGUUCAAUCCCUGGCCUCACUCAGUGGGUUAAGGAUCCAGCAUGGCCGUGAGCUCUGGUGUAGGUCGCAGACGCGGCUCGGAUCUGGUGUUGCUGUGGCUGUAGUGCAGGCCGGCAGCUGUAGCUCCAAUUGGACCCCUAGCCUGGGAACCUCCAUAUGCCACGGGUGUGGCCCUAAAAAGACCAAAAAAAUAAAAUAAAAUAAAAAAGAAAAUGUCCCCGAAAC